GAAAGAUGGUGAACUAUGCCUGAGCAGGACGAAGUCAGAGGAAACUUUCAUAGAAGUCCGCAUAGGUUUCUGACAUGCAGAACGAUAGGUAGACCUGGUAUGGGUAGUUGCGAAAGACUAAUCGAACCAUCUGGUAGCU
rnacentral:ncRNA from 1 species